UGAUCGUCACGCCAGCUCUCAAGGUGAGAGAAACCCAGCAAAAUUACAGAGAGAAGAUUCUAGAAGUUUUAGAAUUCUGGAAAAUGAUCGAUAAAACAAUUGUUGAGCUGCACAUGCUCUUUAUUGAAAGAUUCUAACGGCAAACUUGAAUCACCCAAUCUCCUCUCUCCACACGUCCUCUUCUUAUUAGCUUCUUUUCCCACUUGACUCUCACGUGCGAUGGCACACGUGUGGUUCUGCAUCACAACUCCCCUUGUUGCAGAACCUUGUCCACAAGGUUCAAGCUUCAAAAGUAGGGAACUUCUGCUGCAAAUCAAACAAAAACUCCCAGGUUGCCUCUUCAACUGGUUCCCUAGCCCACUUUACCAACACUUUUGUCACAGCUUGGUUGUGGCGCUUAACCAUCUUGCGUUCCAAAAUGUAUUCAGGCUCCCUGACAAAUGCAUCUUGUACAACAGAAGGUAACUCAGUAGUAGUAGUGACAUUACCCACAAGAACUUUCAGUUGAGAGACAUGGAACACUGGAUGAACUAAGGAAGAAGGAGGCAACUGUAAGCGAUAAGCUACUGCACCACACUUAUCAAUAAUCUUGUAAGGACCAUAGUAUUUUGGAGCAAGUUUCUGGUUAGAGCGUAAUACCACAGAGUGUUGCCUAUACGGUUGUAGCUUCACAUACACAUAAUCUCCAAUAGAUAACUCCUUUUCAGUACGGUGUUGAUCAGCAAAAAGCUUCAUCCUGUGUUGAGCACGCAAUAAGUGAAACUUCAGCAGCAAAAUCAUGUUCUCCCUCUCCUGCAAAGAUCUCGCCACGGCAGCCACCUUUGACUCCCCAGGAAGGUAUGGCAAAUGCACCGGAGGUGCUUGGCCAUAAACAGCCUCAUAUGGUGUCAGCUGGAUUGCAGAGUGGAAAUUAGUAUUGUACCAGAACUCCGCAAGGGCCAACCAUUUGCUCCACAUAUGGGGCUGAUCACUAGUCAUACAACGCAGAUAAGUCUCCAAACAUCGAUUCACAACUUCAGUCUGACCGUCACUUUGAGGAUGAUAAGCAGUAGACAUUUUUAAGGACACUCCUUGAAGAGUAAAGAAUUCCUUCCAAAACUCACUUGUAAAGAUUUUAUCUCUGUCACUGACAAUUGAAACAGGGCAGCCAUGAAGCUUGAAAACAUUAUCCAGGUAAGCUUGGGCUACUGUCAAGGCACUGUAAGGGUGAGACAAAGCCAUGAAGUGAGCUGCCUUGCUCAACCUGUCCACUACAACCAUUAUCACAGACUUACCCGCAGAAAGCGGUAAUCCUUCUAUGAAAUCCAUAGAAACUUCACUCCAUAUUGUAUCAGGUAUUGGCAAAGGUUGCAACAACCCAGGAGAAGCUGCAUUAUCACUCUUACAUUGUUGACAAACUCCACAACUCCUUAUGUAAGACUGAAUAUCCUUCACCAUUCCUUUCCAAUAAAAAAUUCCUUUGACCCUUUGAUGAGUGACAUCACGACCUGAAUGGCCACCAACCCCAGAACAAUGUAACCAAGCUAAUAUUGAAUCCUUUAAUUUGGUAUCUUGAGGCACGACAAUCUUGCUCUUCCUCCGCAAGAUGUUUUGCAUCCAAGAAUAGUGUUUUUUCGCGUCUGGCUUCAGUUUUAAGGCUUCAAUGAUGGCUUUUAUUUCUUGAUCAGUGUCAUAACCUGUCUGAAUGUCCUUCAACAAAUCACAUUCCACCACAGACAUAGACAUAUGCAAGACCUCAGAACCAUCCACUCGAGAGAGAGCAUCAGCUACUAAAUUUUCCUUGCCCUGCUUAUACUGAAUCUCAUAAUCAAACUCCAACAAUUUAGGUAACCACUGUUGUUGAAUAGGAGUGUUGAGCCUCUGUUCUAAUAAGUACUUGAGACUCCUUUGAUCAGUCUUAAUGAUAAAGUCACUAGACAACAGAUAGUGUCUCCACUUAUUCACCGCAAAAAUGACUGCCAACAAUUCUUUUUCAUAAAUUGAAAGAGAAAGUUGUUUACCCUUAAGUUGUCGACUUAUAUAAGCUAUUGGAUGGCCUUCCUGCAUCAAAACGGCACCAAUUCCAUGUCCACAAGCAUCUGUCUCUACCACAAAAGUUUUGUCAAAUAAAGGUAAAGCCAAAACAGGUGUGUGGCAGAGAGCCAUCUUCAGUUUGUCAAACGCCUCCUGUGUUUCAGAGGACCACAGAAAAGCAUCCUUCCUGGUCAGAGCAUGUAAAGGACUGGCAAUGGCACCAAAGUGUUUAACAAAACGUCUAUAGUAGCCUGCCAACCCCAAGAAUCCUCUGAGCUGCUUAAGAUUAGAAGGAAUUGGCCAUUCCUCCACGGCCUUAAUCUUAGCAGGAUCUGUUGAAAUACCUUCUGCACUUAUAAAAUGUCCCAAAUACUCCACCCUGUCCACGGCAAAGGCACAUUUACUCAUUUUAGCAAACAACUGAUUCUUCUUCAUCACCUCAAAAACAUGUCUCAAAUGUUGAAUGUGCUCCUCCAGGGAAUUACUAUAGAUGAGAAUAUCAUCAAAGAAGAUAAGCACAAAUUUUCUGAGAAACAUCUUGAAAACUGCAUUCAUCAGUCCUUGAAAUGUUGCUGGAGCGUUUGUAAGCCCAAAGGGCAUUACCAAAUACUCAUAAUGUCCGCUGUGGGUUUUAAAAGCUGUCUUUGGUAUGUCAUCUUUAUGCAUCCUGACUUGAUGAUACCCAGCUCUAAGAUCAAUUUUUGAAUAAAUCCGAGAACCACCAAGCUCAUCUAAAAGAUCUUCAAUAAGAGGAAUUGGAAAUCUGUCCUUCACAGUCAUUCCAUUAAGUUCUCUGUAAUCAACACACAGCCGCCAUGAUCCAUCUUUCUUUUUAACUAACACCACAGGGGAUGCAUAAGGACUAGCACUUGGUUGUAUAGACCCACUUGUAAGCAUUUCCUCCACAAUUUUAUCAACCUCAUUCUUUUGGUGUAUAGAAUACCUGUAAGGACGCUGGUUAACCGGAUUAGAACCCUCCACCAAUUGAAUCUGAUGAUCAUGAUUGGCUCGAAACGGUGGUAGAGUAGUAGGCUCAGCAAAGACUUCAGGGAACCCUUCCACCAACUGAAGUACCUCUGCUGGAGCUGCAGGAUCAACUUUUAAUGCAUUCAGUGAAGUAGUGUUAUCAGCUUCUUCCUCUUCUAGCAUAUUCACACAAAUCAUAGAAAGUUGAACUUGAUUAUCCUGUAACUUAUUAAGUUUCUGAGCUUUGAUAGCUCUCACAGAACCAUUCUUAAUUCCAUGUAGUAGUACCCAUUGUUUUCCCCAUUUAAAACCCAUUUCCAACUUCUUAAAUUCCCAUGAGAUAUGGCCCAGAGUUGCCAACCAUUGUACACCUAAAACCAUGUCACACCCCUUCAAAGGAAUCAGCAUUACAUCAGUGACAAACUCUGUAGUCUGGAAUUUCCAAGUAAAAUUAUCAACCUUCCCUUGAACUCCUAACUUCCUUCCAUCCGCAACAGAGACUUUAGUUAAACCCGAUGGUUUAACAAGACAUCCCAACUUAGCAGCCACUACAGGGUCCACAAAGUUAUGUGUCGAACCAGAAUCAAUUAGCACAAACAAGGUCCUUUUUCCAUAGGUACCCCGCACGCGCAUGGUAUGGUAAUCAGAGAUGCCGGAUACAACAUUGAGAGAAACUUGUGGCCUCACCUGGCCAUCUUGUUCCAUCUCUUCAGCCUCUUCUACUGCAUCCACAAAAACAUCAUCCUCAUCCACUCCCAUGCAAUAGAGUUGUGCAUUUUUAUGUGUCAUGUAAUGAUCAGGGGUGAAUUUUUCAUCACACCAGUAACACAAGCCUUUAGCUCUCCUUUCACUCAUCUCCUCUUUAGAUAAAAACUUCUUUGGUGUUGUUCCUGGAGGUUUCUGAAAUGGUUUAUUGACCCCCUGUCCACUUCGAUCAUCAAUUUCUUUAGGUAAAGAGAGCAACCCUUUAGAAACAACACUGGAACUUCCACUCCUAGAGCCAAGCCAACCCUGAGAUACAGGCUUCUUGGGGUGUGCCUUUUCAUACAACCUUCCCAACUGAAAGCAAUGCCUCACCGUUUGUGGCUGGAACAUCCUUACGUGCAUCUGAGUAUCAACUCGCAGCCCAGCCAAGUAAAUACUCACCAAAUACUCCUCCGAUAAACGAACUCGCGUCUUAAUCAAUUCAAAACGCUCAUGAUAAGCAGUAAUUCCAUCAGUUUCCUGCAAAUUUUUAAGAUCAGCCAUGGGAUCUUCACAGACUUCCUCAAACCUUUCCUUCAAGAAUUGAACAUAUCCCUUCCAGUCAUACAACACAUCCAAACCAACACCCGAUUGCAUAAAAGACUGAUGCCAGGUAGCAGCACGUCCUUCAUAGUGAAUCGCUGCUAGUCGUACUUUCAAAUCCGCCGGAGUAUUAUCAACACCAAAAAACUCCUCUACCUUAAACAACCAGUCUCGAAUCCGAAAUCCAUCAAACUUAGGGAAAUCGAUCUUACCCAGUCUUGUAAGACCUCCAUAUUGAGGAGCAGAUCUUACCUCCCGAGAAUGAUCGGAGUAACCAGAAUGGUUUCCCUGAGUCAUUGAAGACAUCGGAGCAGCGCGAUCUGGAGAAGGAAGCUGCGUCGAUGAUUUCUGAUGAUUGUUCAAACGAAAAGCUUCAAACAUCUCCGCAAUAUGAUUCUCCAUCUUCCGAUUCUGGUCUUCGAUCAGAUCUUCCAACCUUUUGAUCUUUGACACAACAGAAUCGUCAUCUACUAACACCGGAGACACCGUUGGCUCCGUCGUCACACCAGAUCUUGUUGCAACACCCAUGAUUUCCAAGGAACGUAGAUGCUCUGAUACCUUUAAUACAGUGAAACUCACAAUCUCACCGAUUCAACCAACACAAUUUCUGAAUAAUUCCUUUAUUAAACAAAUGAUCAAACAACGUUCAUAAAACGCAGAGUGAUCGUCACGCCAGCUCUCAAGGUGAGAGAAACCCAGCAAAAUUACAGAGAGAAGAUUCUAGAAGUUUUAGAAUUCUGGAAAAUGAUCGAUAAAACAAUUGUUGAGCUGCACAUGCUCUUUAUUGAAAGAUUCUAACGGCAAACUUGAAUCACCCAAUCUCCUCUCUCCACACGUCCUCUUCUUAUUAGCUUCUUUUCCCACUUGACUCUCACGUGCGAUGGCACACGUGUGGUUCUGCAUC
rnacentral:lncRNA from 1 species